AUUGAACGCUGGCGGCAUGCUUUACACAUGCAAGUCGAACGGUAACAGGUUAAGCUGACGAGUGGCGAACGGGUGAGUAAUGCAUCGGAACGUGCCCGAUCGUGGGGGAUAACGCAGCGAAAGCUGCGCUAAUACCGCAUACGAUCUGAGGAUGCACGCGGGGGACCGUAAGGCCUCGCGCGAUCGGAGCGGUCGAUGUCAGAUUAGGUAGUUGGUGGGGUAAAGGCUCACCAAGCCGACGAUCUGUAGCUGGUCUGAGAGGACGACCAGCCACACUGGGACUGAGACACGGCCCAGACUCCUACGGGAGGCAGCAGUGGGGAAUUUUGGACAAUGGGCGAAAGCCUGAUCCAGCAAUGCCGCGUGCAGGAAGAAGGCCUUCGGGUUGUAAACUGCUUUUGUACGGAGCGAAAAGGCUCUCUCUAAUACAGGGGGCUCAUGACGGUACCGUAAGAAUAAGCACCGGCUAACUACGUGCCAGCAGCCGCAGUAAUAC
rnacentral:rRNA from 1 species